rnacentral:rRNA from 1 species
GAUGAACGCUGGCGGCGUGCCUAAUACAUGCAAGUCGAGCGAACAGAUGAGGAGCUUGCUCCUCUGACGUUAGCGGCGGACGGGUGAGUAACACGUGGAUAACCUACCUAUAAGACUGGGAUAACUUCGGGAAACCGGAGCUAAUACCGGAAAAUAUAUUGAACCGCAUGGUUCAAUAGUGAAAGACGGUUUUGCUGUCACUUAUAGAUGGAUCCGCGCCGCAUUAGCUAGUUGGUAAGGUAACGGCUUACCAAGGCAACGAUGCGUAGCCGACCUGAGAGGGUGAUCGGCCACACUGGAACUGAGACACGGUCCAGACUCCUACGGGAGGCAGCAGUAGGGAAUCUUCCGCAAUGGGCGAAAGCCUGACGGAGCAACGCCGCGUGAGUGAUGAAGGUCUUCGGAUCGUAAAACUCUGUUAUUAGGGAAGAACAAAUGUGUAAGUAACUAUGCACGUCUUGACGGUACCUAAUCAGAAAGCCACGGCUAACUACGUG